AGAGUUUGAUCCUGGCUCAGAAUGAACGUUGGCGGCGUGGAUUAGGCAUGCAAGUCGUACGAGAAGCUCUUUUUGCUUGCAUUAGGAGCGGACAGUGGCGAAAGGGAGAGUAACGCGUGGAUAACUUACCCCGGGGUCUGGGAUAGCUGAGGGAAACUUCAGGUAAUACCGGAUAACGUUUCCGAACCAAAGGUGCAAUUCCGCCUUGUGAUAGGUCCGCGUCCUACUAGCUUGUUGGUGAGGUAAUGGCUCACCAAGGCAAAGAUGGGUAGCGGGUGUGAGAGCAUGGCCCGUCUCACUGGGACUGAGACACUGCCCAGACACCUACGGGUGGCUGCAGUCGAGAAUCUUCCGCAAUGGGCGAAAGCCUGACGGAGCGACGCCGCGUGCGGGAUGAAGGCCUUCGGGUUGUAAACCGCUGUCAGUUGGGAGGAAAUGCAUAGGGGCACUCUCCUAUGUUUGACCGAUCUUCAGAGGAAGUCCGGGCUAAGUUCGUGCCAGCAGCCGCGGUAAGACGAACCGGACGAACGUUAUUCGGAAUCACUGGGCUUAAAGAGUACGUAGGCGGCCAGGUAAGCGAGGUGUGAAAUCCCACGGCUCAACCGUGGAACUGCGCUUCGAACUACUUGGCUUGAGGGAAGCAGAGGUAAGCGGAACUGAUGGUGGAGCGGUGAAAUGCGUUGAUAUCAUCAGGAACACCAGUGGCGAAGGCGGCUUACUGGGCUUUUUCUGACACUGAGGUACGAAAGCUAGGGUAGCGAACGGGAUUAGAUACCCCGGUAGUCCUAGCUGUAAACGAUGAGCACUUGGUCGAGGGGACCUUCACAUCUUCUCGGCCGUAGCGAAAGCGUUAAGUGCUCCGCCUGGGGAGUAUGGUCGCAAGGCAA
rnacentral:rRNA from 1 species